rnacentral:rRNA from 1 species
AGUGAACGCUGGCGGUAGGCCUAACACAUGCAAGUCGAACGGCAGCACAGUAAGAGCUUGCUCUUACGGGUGGCGAGUGGCGGACGGGUGAGGAAUACAUCGGAAUCUACUUUUUCGUGGGGGAUAACGUAGGGAAACUUACGCUAAUACCGCAUACGACCUACGGGUGAAAGCAGGGGAUCUUCGGACCUUGCGCGAUUGAAUGAGCCGAUGUCGGAUUAGCUAGUUGGCGGGGUAAAGGCCCACCAAGGCGACGAUCCGUAGCUGGUCUGAGAGGAUGAUCAGCCAAACUGGAACUGAGAAACGGUCCAGACUCCUACGGAGGCAGCAGUGGGGAAUAUUGGACAAUGGGCGCAAGCCUGAUCCAGCCAUACCGCGUGGGUGAAGAAGGCCUUCGGGUUGUAAAGCCCUUUUGUUGGGAAAGAAAAGCAGCAGGUUAAUACCCCGCUGUUCUGACGGUACCCAAAGAAUAAGCACCGGCUAACUUCGUG